rnacentral:rRNA from 1 species
GGCAAGAAGGGGCCGGGGGGCGCGGGUAUGCGUAGGGUGGGGGGGUUGCCGGGUGUGAUUGGGCGGAGAGGGGGCGUGGGCGGCCCGGCGGGUGGGCGGUGAAAUGUCGCGGGUCAACUGUGAGGGGACGGCCGAGAGGGGCGGGCUGGAGCGAGGUAGGGGAGAGUGGAAUUCCCGGUGUAGUGGUGGAAUGCGUAGAUAUCGGGAGGAACACCAGUGGCGAAGGCGGCUCUCUGGACCUCUGCUGACGCUGAGGCGCGAAAGCGUGGGGAGCGAUCCGGAUUAGAUACCCCGGUAGUC